CUUCAGUUGCGUUGGUGUCUCUUCUCUGUCUCUCUCUCCCCGCAUACGGACACUUUGUUCGGAGGUUCGGAGCGAGCGUGUGGUGUUUUACCAACAGAACCAUAGAAGAAGAAGAAGAGGAGUUGAAUGUAACCAAAGGGGCCCCGUUGAGAAAUAACUCAGAAAAAAUUUCAAUCCGUUUCGAAGGUUUUCGGCUUUCCUUUGGUUUCAAAUGGCUUCUUGAUUAAGGGGCUAUUGAUGGUUCUAGGGCUUUGAGAGGACCGUUUCCAAUGGGUAGCACAGGUGAAGCUGACAAGAAACGACGUCACUUGAGUUCCGUAUCGCCUACUGCCAAGAAACAGCCUCUUACUCCCCUUUCUGAGGGGAAAAAGCUCGAUGCAACGGUGCUUCAAUUUCAAAAUCAGAAACUCAUACAAAAGUUGGAAACUCAAAAGGUUGAGAUAUGUGGACUUGAGGGCAGAUUGUGUCAAUUGAAAGAUGAACAACAAUCACAUGACAAAAUCGCAACCAUUGUUAAUAAUUCUUGGGAAGAGCUGGUUGAUGAAUUAGAAUCAUGCUCUAAUACCAUACUAGACUCUGGGAAGCAUGGGCAAGGGUUUGGAGGCAAGCUAGUCAAAGAUGAUGGUGAUUCAUCUCCUGAAGAAUCAUUGUUAAGCAGAGUCUUAGACUCUGAUGUAACUGAAAGCGCAAGCACAUCUGUAGAUGUAAAUGAAGAUGAAAAUGUAGAGGUUGGAAAGACAGAGAAACCAGAGAAGAUAUUCCGGAAUAUAGUGGUUGCUCUUGAUGAUCUCAACGAGUUAAAGAAUAGACUGUACACUGCUUAUAAGAAGGCAGCCUCAUCUAAUGAACAGAGCCAGACGGUGGUUUCUUCUGGUCUACAAUCCGAAGUUAAGAGUCUGAGGGUAGCAGCCAUCAAUCUUCACCUGAAGCAUAGAUCAUUGGCUGGUGAACUUCAGAGCCAAAGAGAUACUGAUGCAAAAAAUAAAGCUGCUUUGAAGCGUUUGGAAGGAGAACUAGAAAGUACAAUCUUUGAAUUGGAAGAAACCAACCGAAACUUGGCUAUUCUAAGAGCAGAGAGAGAUAUAGCCAAGGGGUCUCUUCUGAAUCGAGGAAAUAAACUGGUGGCCAAUGAUAGAACGCGAGAUAAGCAGGGUGAUUUGCAAAACAUGGAGUCUACGCUGAAGGAGCUGUUGGACCACUCUACAGUACGGCUGCAUGAACUCCAGCAGCUACAUGAAGACAGGUUGGAUGUAUUAAGACACUUGUCAAAGUUGCAGAGCAAACUAAAGAAUGUUAAGUGUAUUAGCUCAUCCCAAGCAUAUCGAUUGAUAAAAGAUCAGCUAGAAAAAGCUAAAACAGAUGUAGUUCAGUUUCAAGCUCUCUGUGAGCAAUUGCAGGUUGAUAAAGAAGUUCUUCACUGUCGGGAAAAAGAAGUACAAAUGAAAAGUGAAUUAGUUGAUGUUCUUCGUCGAUCUUCAGCAGUUUCUAAUUCCAGAAUAAGUGAUUUGGAAGCAGAAAUACAGAGAUGCAUUAAAGAAAAACAUCUUAUUGAGACCAAGUUGGAUGAAGCUUCUAAAGAACCCGGCGGGAAAGAAAUCAUGUUGAAGUUUAGAGACUUGGUAUCAUCAUUCCCAGAGAAAAUGGGGAGCAUGCAAACACAGUUAGCUAAACACAAAGAGUCUGCUGCAGACAUACAUUGUUUACGGGCUGAUGUUGCUUCACUGACUAAUAUCCUAAAUCACAAGGCUAAGGAAUUAGAGACUUUGACGUCCAGAUCAGCACAGCAGAAUGCUGAAAUUAAAAGACUUCAGGAUGUGAUUAGUGAUUUAAAGGUAACUGACAAGGACUUGAAGCUUUUUCUGGGAAUGUAUGAACAGCAGUCAACAGAUUCAAGGGAAGUUGAAGAAGCUAGAAGUUCUGAGAUUGCUGCUUGGGCUCAUGUUCAGGGACUUAAAUCUUCCCUGGAUGAGCACAAUUUGGAGUUGAGGGUUAAAGUUGCAAUCGAAUCUGAAGCAAAAGCCCAGCAAAAAUUAGCUGCUUCAGAAGCUGAGAUUGCUGAGCUGAGACAGAAGUUAGAGGCUUCUAAAAGGGAAAAAGCAGGACUUUCUGAUGUCCUUAAAUCCAAGCAUGAAGAAACUGAAGCCUAUUUGUCAGAAAUAGAGACUAUUGGGCAGGCAUACGAUGACAUGCAGACACAAAACCAACAGCUAUUACAGCAAAUCACAGAGAGAGAUGACUACAAUGUUAAGCUUCUUUUAGAGGGCGUGCGCUCAAGACAUGUCGGAGAUGCUCUCCUUAUGGAGAAACGGAUGUUGGAGAAAGCUGUAUUGCAGUCCAAGAAAACCGUUGAUUUUGGUGAAACCAAAGCACGUAGAAUUGAAGAUCAGCUGCAAGCACAUUCGGACCACAUGAAGCGGCUUACUGAUGAUAGAACCCGCAAUGCUUCUGCGGCAGAAAAUGCCAAAAGAAAAUUGCUGGAUGUGAAAAAAUUAUCUCAACAAACGACUGGCACACUUGAUGAAGGCCAAUCCCAGGUUGAAAAGGCUCGGGCACAUCUUACUGAGCUGCAGAUAGAAUCAGAGAAAGAGAGGUUUGGGCGGAAAAGAGUAGAGGAAAAACUGGAUACCCUUAAAAGGAAGGCCGAACAGCUAAAAUUGCAGGCUGAUAGUUCCUCUGCAACUGUAAAGCUCCGUCAGGAGCUCCAAGAAUAUAAAGAAAUUCUGAAGUGCACUGUCUGCCAUGAGCGGAGGAAAGAGGUGGUUAUCACAAAAUGCUUCCAUCUCUUUUGCAAUCCUUGCAUACAAAGAAUAGUCGAAGCACGCCAUCGCAAGUGCCCAGUAUGCUCUGCAAGUUUCGGUGCUAAUGAUGUCAAACCCGUGUACAUCUGACCAUAUUCUAGAGGGGUAGUCCCCAGCUUCUGUUCCCCAUGUACAUCUGAUUUUUCAGAUGUAUAUAAUGGUCAUCCCUUGAGUCAAGUAAAAGACUCCAUUGGAGUUGACAGACAAACAGACAGACGUUCCUUUUGCAAAAGAAAAAAUAUUAAUCAGUUGAAAGUUCUCCAGUUCUGGGAGUGAAUAAAUUAUCACAACAGGAGCUUUUGAUGCAUUAAUUGGUGGCUACAUUGUAUUAUAUCUCAUCCCUCACCUGCAGGGCAGUGGGCUCCCUUACCCUAACCCCUACCCACCCUUGGUUUGUGGUGUUUAGUUAGUACAGUGAAGGAAGCUGUCUGAAAAGGAUGUGUCUUGAUUUUGUGUGAC